rnacentral:rRNA from 1 species
CAGCACCUCAAGUGGUCAGGAUGAUUAUUGGGCCUAAAGCAUCCGUAGCCGGCGCUGUAAGUUUUCGGUUAAAUCUGUACGCUCAACGUGCAGGCUGCCGGGAAUACUGCAGCGCUAGGGAGUGGGAGAGGUAGACGGUACUCGGUAGGAAGGGGUAAAAUCCUUUGAUCUAUUGAUGACCACCUGUGGCGAAGGCGGUCUACCAGAACACGUCCGACGGUGAGGGAUGAAAGCUGGGGGAGCAAACCGGAUUAGAUACCCGUGUAGUCC